UAAAUUAUUAUUAAGUGUGAGCUUGCGCUCCUAGAGCUAUAUUUUUAUAUAUUUUAUUUUUAUAGGCUAGUGCCAAACUUAUUAUUUCUACUUCCGCUUUUUAUGUAUAAAAAGUGAUGCCACGCUGUUUUAAAACAGUUCAGUGUACAGUUGACCAGUGGUCAGUACCAUAUUAUAUCUGUCUGUGUGACAGCUGAAGAUCGUUGUGGUCUGUCGUCUACUUAUAUUUUUAUUCCUGUACCUGGGACGGCCUAAUUAACCACAUGGAGAUCAGAAGCUAUACAUUUAGAUACAGAGUUUACAACAUGGAGAUCAGAAGCUAUACAUUUAGAUACAGAGUUUACAACAUGGAGAUCAGAAGCUAUACAUUUGGAUACAGAGUUUACAACAUUUACCUAGGCCUAUGAGAACCGCUGUUGUCGCUACCGGCUACUUGUUUUUAUUGAUGCCAAGGUGAGCUGUUCAACAAUGAUAGCCUCCCCAAACCAACAGGUUUUAAGAGGCUGUCUUUACCUGUACUGAAUUGUAUUGGAAACCAAAAAAUGUCAUGUUAGAAGCCGGGAAGGCUUCCAAAAUAUUGAGUAACAAUUCCUAGUUAAUGCGAACUGAUCUGGAUAGCGAAGUUGAGGGUGACAAAAUAAUCUACAAACGCGGGGCCCCUCAUGCCCCACUUGCCACCCCCUAGGGCCGCUACUGCACUACAUGAAUAUUGAAACAUAUGUCAUCAGAUAAAUGGAACAAGUUGACUUUAGGGAUUUGUAAUUUAAGAAGAUGAAACUUGAUGGUUAUUGAAUUACAUGUCACCAAAUUAAUGUCGUUAGACGAGUAUGGAAUAAAUAGACAUUAAAAUUAUGUUAUAUGUUAAACAUAUAUAAAUAAAGACCCUAACGGCUUUCAUGCACUACAGAGAUAUGUUG